CGGCCCUUAUCACGUUCAAUCACCGGUUCUCGUAAGAUAACCGAAGUUAAGCAACGUCGAGUCUGGUCAGUAGCUAGAUGGGUGACCUUCUGGGAAUACUAUUAGCUGUAA